AUUGAACGCUGGCGGCAUGCCUUACACAUGCAAGUCGAACGGUAACGGGCCUUCGGGUGCCGACGAGUGGCGAACGGGUGAGUAAUGUAUCGGAACGUGCCUUUCAGUGGGGGAUAACGUAGCGAAAGUUACGCUAAUACCGCAUAUUCUGUGCGCAGGAAAGCAGGGGAUCGCAAGACCUUGCGCUGAUUGAGCGGCCGAUAUCAGAUUAGCUAGUUGGUGAGGUAAAGGCUCACCAAGCCGACGAUCUGUAGCGGGUCUGAGAGGAUGAUCCUCCACACUGUAACUGAGACACGGUCCAGAGUCCUACGGGAGGCAGCAGUGGGGAAUUUUGGACAAUGGGGGCAACCCUGAUCCAGCCAUGCCGCGUGAGUGAAGAAGGCCUUCGGGUUGUAAAGCUCUUUCGGCCGGGAAGAAAUCGCAUGGGCUAAUACCCUGUGCGGAUGACGGUACCGGCAUAAGAAGCACCGGCUAACUACGUGCCAGCCGCCGCAGUAAAAC
rnacentral:rRNA from 1 species